rnacentral:rRNA from 1 species
CCUACGGGAGGCAGCAGUGAGGAAUAUUGGUCAAUGGGCGCGAGCCUGAACCAGCCAAGUCGCGUGAGGGAAGACGGUCCUAUGGAUUGUAAACCUCUUUUGUCGGGGAGCAAAAGACGCCACGCGUGGCGUUCCGAGAGUACCCGAAGAAAAAGCAUCGGCUAACUCCGUGCCAGCAGCCGCGGUAAUACGGAGGAUGCGAGCGUUAUCCGGAUUUAUUGGGUUUAAAGGGUGCGUAGGCGGAAGAUCAAGUCAGCGGGAAAAUUGAGAGGUUAAACCUCUUCGAGCUGUUGAAACUGGUUUUCUUGAGUGAGCGAGAAGUAUGCGGAAUGCGGGGUGUAGCGGUGAAAUGCAGAGAUAUCACGCAGAACUCCGAUUGCGAAGGCAGCAUACCGGCGCUCAACUGACGCUCAUGCACGAAAGUGUGGGUAUCGAACAGGAUUAGAUACCCUGGUAGUC